UGAAUUGGCAAAACAUGCAGGAAAGAUAGAUAAUCAGAGCAAAUUGAACGCACUUUCUAUUAUUUAAUAUUGAAUGAAAAAAGCGAAAUGGAAGAGGCAAUCACUUGCAAGGUUUGUGCAGAGGAAUUUUCUGACGAAGACGGACUUAUUCCGAGGAUAUUGACUGCUUGUGGACAUAGCUUCUGUGAAACCUGUUUGAAGAAAUUGCAAAAUAAAACAUAUGUAUCUAAAAAAAGUUAUAUUGAAGAGAUGGAUGGUAAAUACAAAAAGAAAGUUACCAGGUCCGUUCAAUACUCGAUAACGUGUCCAAAAUGUAAAACAG